UCAUUAGCUAACAAUGCUAAAGCUAAAGACACUCUGCCUAAGCAUGAGAAUCUAAAGUUCAAUCUUGGACUUCAUCAGUGGUUCGAGAUUCGCAUAACUACUGUAUAGAAUGGUCUGACUGCACCUCAUCAUUGUUCUGCUUCUUGUUAUGUUUAUGCUGAUUUUAUUCCUUGUUUUUUUUUUAAAAUAAAGAUAACACUGACUUUUUGCACAUCUUGGCCUCCAUACCAGUUGUUUUUCAGGGCUGGAAAUUGCUCAGUUGGGAGAGCAUUAGACUGAAGCUCUAAAGGUCCCUGGUUCAAUCUUGGGUUUUGGCAGGAAGGAAGAGUUUUAGGAACAGGACGUCUUCAGUAAACAAUGCUAGAACUAAAUGUUCAUCUAAAAAUUUGUGGGUUUUCAACAGCUGUUCUGUCUGUGCAGUGCUAGAGAAUGGUCUGACUUUUCUGUAUUUCUUUAAACCAAUCACAGUCAUCUUAGUUGGAGUUUAGCCCAGGAUGUAUUGAUGGUGUCCCUGAAAUAUAGUGACAUAGAAUUGUUUUGGUGGGAUGUUUUCCUGGUGGCUAGCAUCUCUUAGCUCUGUUGGCAUUUGAUCCGUCUUAAUGGAAUUUGAAAUCAAAGUUUUUUAAAUGUUGCUCUAUUUUUUGCCCCUCUUGGCCUCUGUAGUCAUGAUUGUUCAGGCUGAAAUAGCUCAGUUGGGAGAGCGUUAGACUGAAGAUCUAAAGGUCCCUGGUUCGAUCCCGGGUUUCAGCAGAGUUUUAGGAACACAAGGUUGUCACACUACACCUGAAAACUGUUGUCUCAUUAGCUAACAAUGCUAAAGCUAACGACACUCUGCCUGAGCAUGAGAAUCUAAAGUUCAAUCUUGGACUUCAUCAGUGGUUCGAGAUUCGCAUAACUACUGUAUAGAAUGGUCUGACUGCACCUCAUCUUUGUUAUGCUGAUUUUAUUCCUUGUUUUUUUUUUAAAAUAAAGAUAACACUGACUUUUUGCACAUCUUGGCCUCCAUACCAGUUGUUUUUCAGGGCUGGAAUUGCUCAGUUGGGAGAGCAUUAGACUGAAGGUCUAAAGGUCUCUUAUUCAAUCUUGGGUUUUGGCAGGAAGGAAGAGUUUUAGGAACAGGACGUCUUCAGUAAACAAUGCUAGAACUAAAUGUUCAUCUAAAAAUUUGUGGGUUUUCAACAGCUGUUCUGUCUGUGCAAUGCUAGAGAAUGGUCUGACUUUUCUGUAUUUCUUUAAACCAAUCACAGUCAUCUUAGUUGGAGUUUAGCCCAGGAUGUAUUGAUGGUGUCCCUGAAAUAUAGUGACAUAGAAUUGUUUUGGUGGGAUGUUUUCCUGGUGGCUAGCAUCUCUUAGCUCUGUUGGCAUUUGGUCCGUCUUAAUGGAAUUUGAAAUCAAAGUUUUUUAAAUGUUGCUCUAUUUUUUGCCCCUCUUGGCCUCCGUAAUCAUGAUUCUUCAGGCUGAAAUAGCUCAGCUGGGAGAGCGUUAGACUGAAGAUCUAAAGGUCCCUGGUUCGAUCCCGGGUUUCAGCAGAGUUUUAGGAACACAAGGUUGUCACAGUACACCUGAAAACUGUUGUCUCAUUAGCUAACAAUGCUAAAGCUAACGACACUCUGCCUGAGCAUGAGAAUCUAAAGUUCAAUCUUGGACUUCAUCAGUGGUUCGAGAUUCGCAUAACUACUGUAUAGAAUGGUCUGACUGCACCUCAUCUUUGUUAUGCUUAUGCUGAUUUUAUUCCUUGUUUUUUUUUUAAAAUAAAGAUAACACUGACUUUUUGCACAUCUUGGCCUCCAUACCAGUUGUUUUUCAGGGCUGGAAUUGCUCAGUUGGGAGAGCAUUAGACUGAAGGUCUAAAGGUCUCUUAUUCAAUCUUGGGUUUUGGCAGGAAGGAAGAGUUUUAGGAACAGGACGUCUUCAGUAAACAAUGCUAGAACUAAAUGUUCAUCUAAAAAUUUGUGGGUUUUCAACAGCUGUUCUGUCUGUGCAAUGCUAGAGAAUGGUCUGACUUUUCUGUAUUUCUUUAAACCAAUCACAGUCAUCUUAGUUGGAGUUUAGCCCAGGAUGUAUUGAUGGUGUCCCUGAAAUAUAGUGACAUAGAAUUGUUUUGGUGGGAUGUUUUCCUGGUGGCUAGCAUCUCUUAGCUCUGUUGGCAUUUGGUCCGUCUUAAUGGAAUUUGAAAUCAAAGUUUUUUAAAUGUUGCUCUAUUUUUUGCCCCUCUUGGCCUCCGUAAUCAUGAUUCUUCAGGCUGAAAUAGCUCAGCUGGGAGAGCGUUAGACUGAAGAUCUAAAGGUCCCUGGUUCGAUCCCGGGUUUCAGCAGAGUUUUAGGAACACAAGGUUGUCACAGUACACCUGAAAACUGUUGUCUCAUUAGCUAACAAUGCUAAAGCUAACGACACUCUGCCUGAGCAUGAGAAUCUAAAGUUCAAUCUUGGACUUCAUCAGUGGUUCGAGAUUCGCAUAACUACUGUAUAGAAUGGUCUGACUGCACCUCAUCUUUGUUAUGCUUAUGCUGAUUUUAUUCCUUGUUUUUUUUUUAAAAUAAAGAUAACACUGACUUUUUGCACAUCUUGGCCUCCAUACCAGUUGUUUUUCAGGGCUGGAAUUGCUCAGUUGGGAGAGCAUUAGACUGAAGCUCUAAAGGUCUCUUAUUCAAUCUUGGGUUUUGGCAGGAAGGAAGAGUUUUAGGAACAGGACGUCUUCAGUAAACAAUGCUAGAACUAAAUGUUCAUCUAAAAAUUUGUGGGUUUUCAACAGCUGUUCUGUCUGUGCAAUGCUAGAGAAUGGUCUGACUUUUCUGUAUUUCUUUAAACCAAUCACAGUCAUCUUAGUUGGAGUUUAGCCCAGGAUGUAUUGAUGGUGUCCCUGAAAUAUAGUGACAUAGAAUUGUUUUGGUGGGAUGUUUUCCUGGUGGCUAGCAUCUCUUAGCUCUGUUGGCAUUUGGUCCGUCUUAAUGGAAUUUGAAAUCAAAGUUUUUUAAAUGUUGCUCUAUUUUUUGCCCCUCUUGGCCUCCGUAAUCAUGAUUCUUCAGGCUGAAAUAGCUCAGCUGGGAGAGCGUUAGACUGAAGAUCUAAAGGUCCCUGGUUCGAUCCCGGGUUUCAGCAGAGUUUUAGGAACACAAGGUUGUCACAGUACACCUGAAAACUGUUGUCUCAUUAGCUAACAAUGCUAAAGCUAACGACACUCUCCCUGAGCAUGAGAAUCUAAAGUUCAAUCUUGGACUUCAUCAGUGGUUCGAGAUUCGCAUAACUACUGUAUAGAAUGGUCUGACUGCACCUCAUCUUUGUUAUGCUGAUUUUAUUCCUUGUUUUUUUUUUUAAAAUAAAGAUAACACUGACUUUUUGCACAUCUUGGCCUCCAUACCAGUUGUUUUUCAGGGCUGGAAUUGCUCAGUUGGGAGAGCAUUAGACUGAAGCUCUAAAGGUCCCUGGUUCAAUCUUGGGUUUUGGCAGGAAGGAAGAGUUUUAGGAACAGGACGUCUUCAGUAAACAAUGCUAGAACUAAAUGUUCAUCUAAAAAUUUGUGGGUUUUCAACAGCUGUUCUGUCUGUGCAGUGCUAGAGAAUGGUCUGACUUUUCUGUAUUUCUUUAAACCAAUCACAGUCAUCUUAGUUGGAGUUUAGCCCAGGAUGUAUUGAUGGUGUCCCUGAAAUAUAGUGACAUAGAAUUGUUUUGGUGGGAUGUUUUCCUGGUGGCUAGCAUCUCUUAGCUCUGUUGGCAUUUGAUCCGUCUUAAUGGAAUUUGAAAUCAAAGUUUUUUAAAUGUUGCUCUAUUUUUUGCCCCUCUUGGCCUCUGUAGUCAUGAUUGUUCAGGCUGAAAUAGCUCAGUUGGGAGAGCGUUAGACUGAAGAUCUAAAGGUCCCUGGUUCGAUCCCGGGUUUCAGCAGAGUUUUAGGAACACAAGGUUGUCACACUACACCUGAAAACUGUUGUCUCAUUAGCUAACAAUGCUAAAGCUAACGACACUCUGCCUGAGCAUGAGAAUCUAAAGUUCAAUCUUGGACUUCAUCAGUGGUUCGAGAUUCGCAUAACUACUGUAUAGAAUGGUCUGACUGCACCUCAUCUUUGUUAUGCUUAUGCUGAUUUUAUUCCUUGUUUUUUUUUUAAAAUAAAGAUAACACUGACUUUUUGCACAUCUUGGCCUCCAUACCAGUUGUUUUUCAGGGCUGGAAUUGCUCAGUUGGGAGAGCAUUAGACUGAAGGUCUAAAGGUCUCUUAUUCAAUCUUGGGUUUUGGCAGGAAGGAAGAGUUUUAGGAACAGGACGUCUUCAGUAAACAAUGCUAGAACUAAAUGUUCAUCUAAAAAUUUGUGGGUUUUCAACAGCUGUUCUGUCUGUGCAAUGCUAGAGAAUGGUCUGACUUUUCUGUAUUUCUUUAAACCAAUCACAGUCAUCUUAGUUGGAGUUUAGCCCAGGAUGUAUUGAUGGUGUCCCUGAAAUAUAGUGACAUAGAAUUGUUUUGGUGGGAUGUUUUCCUGGUGGCUAGCAUCUCUUAGCUCUGUUGGCAUUUGGUCCGUCUUAAUGGAAUUUGAAAUCAAAGUUUUUUAAAUGUUGCUCUAUUUUUUGCCCCUCUUGGCCUCCGUAAUCAUGAUUCUUCAGGCUGAAAUAGCUCAGCUGGGAGAGCGUUAGACUGAAGAUCUAAAGGUCCCUGGUUCGAUCCCGGGUUUCAGCAGAGUUUUAGGAACACAAGGUUGUCACAGUACACCUGAAAACUGUUGUCUCAUUAGCUAACAAUGCUAAAGCUAACGACACUCUCCCUGAGCAUGAGAAUCUAAAGUUCAAUCUUGGACUUCAUCAGUGGUUCGAGAUUCGCAUAACUACUGUAUAGAAUGGUCUGACUGCACCUCAUCUUUGUUAUGCUUAUGCUGAUUUUAUUCCUUGUUUUUUUUUUUAAAUAAAGAUAACACUGACUUUUUGCACAUCUUGGCCUCCAUACCAGUUGUUUUUCAGGGCUGAAAUUGCUCAGUUGGGAGAGCAUUAGACUGAAGCUCUAAAGGUCCCUGGUUCAAUCUUGGGUUUUGGCAGGAAGGAAGAGUUUUAGGAACAGGACGUCUUCAGUAAACAAUGCUAGAACUAAAUGUUCAUCUAAAAAUUUGUGGGUUUUCAACAGCUGUUCUGUCUGUGCAAUGCUAGAGAAUGGUCUGACUUUUCUGUAUUUCUUUAAACCAAUCACAGUCAUCUUAGUUGGAGUUUAGCCCAGGAUGUAUUGAUGGUGUCCCUGAAAUAUAGUGACAUAGAAUUGUUUUGGUGGGAUGUUUUCCUGGUGGCUAGCAUCUCUUAGCUCUGUUGGCAUUUGAUCCGUCUUAAUGGAAUUUGAAAUCAAAGUUUUUUAAAUGUUGCUCUAUUUUUUGCCCCUCUUGGCCUCUGUAGUCAUGAUUGUUCAGGCUGAAAUAGCUCAGUUGGGAGAGCGUUAGACUGAAGAUCUAAAGGUCCCUGGUUCGAUCCCGGGUUUCAGCAGAGUUUUAGGAACACAAGGUUGUCACAGUACAUCUGAAAACUGUUGUCUCAUUAGCUAACAAUGCUAAAGCUAGCAACACUCUGCCUGAGCAUGAGAAUCUAAAGUUCAAUCUUGGACUUCAUCAGUGGUUUGAGAUUCGCAUAACUACUGUAUAGAAUGGUCUGACUGCACCUCAUCUUUGUUAUGCUGAUUUUAUUCCUUGUUUUUUUUUUAAAUAAAGAUAACACUGACUUUUUGCACAUCUUGGCCUCCAUACCAGUUGUUUUUCAGGGCUGAAAUUGCUCAGUUGGGAGAGCAUUAGACUGAAGCUCUAAAGGUCCCUGGUUCAAUCUUGGGUUUUGGCAGGAAGGAAGAGUUUUAGGAACAGGACGUCUUCAGUAAACAAUGCUAGAACUAAAUGUUCAUCUAAAAAUUUGUGGGUUUUCAACAGCUGUUCUGUCUGUGCAAUGCUAGAGAAUGGUCUGACUUUUCUGUAUUUCUUUAAACCAAUCACAGUCAUCUUAGUUGGAGUUCAGCCCAGGAUGUAUUGAUGGUGUCCCUGAAAUAUAGUGACAUAGAAUUGUUUUGGUGGGAUGUUUUCCUGGAGGCUAGCAUCUCUUAGCUCUGUUGGCAUUUGGUCCGUCUUAAUGGAAUUUGAAAUCAAAGUUUUUUAAAUGUUGCACUAUGUUUUGCCCCUCUUGGCCUCCGUAAUCAUGAUUCUUCAGGCUGAAAUAGCUCAGUUGGGAGAGCGUUAGACUGAAGAUCUAAAGGUCCCUGGUUCGAUCCCGGGUUUCAGCAGAGUUUUAGGAACACAAGGUUGUCACAGUACAACUGAAAACUGUUGUCUCAUUAGCUAACAAUGCUAAAGCUAACGACACUCUGCCUGAGCAUGAGAAUCUAAAGUUCAAUCUUGGACUUCAUCAGUGGUUCGAGAUUCGCAUAACUACUGUAUAGAAUGGUCUGACUGCACCUCAUCAUUGUUCUGCUUCUUUGUUAUGUUUAUGCUGAUUUUAUUACUUGUUUUUUUAUAUAAAGAUGACAUUGACUUUCUGCACGUCUUGGCCUCCGUACAGGUUGUUUUUCAGGGCUGAAAUUGCUCAGUUGGGAGAGCAUCAGACUGAAGCUCUAAAGGUCCCUUAUUCAGUCUUGGGUUUUGGCAGGAAGGAAGAGUUUUAGGAACAGGACGUCUUCAGUAAACAAUGCUAGAACUAAAUGUUCAUCUAAAAAUUUGUGGGUUUUCAACAGCUGUUCUGUCUGUGCAAUGCUAGAGAAUGGUCUGACUUUUCUGUAUUUCUUUAAACCAAUCACAGUCAUCUUAGUUGGAGUUCAGCCCAGGAUGUAUUGAUGGUGUCCCUGAAAUAUACUGACAUAGAAUUGUUUUGGUGGGAUGUUUUCCUGGUGGCUAGCAUCUCUUAGCUCUGUUGGCAUUUGGUCCGUCUUAAUGGAAUUUGAAAUCAAAGUUUUUUAAAUGUUGCUCUAUUUUUUGCCCCUCUUGGCCUCCGUAAUCAUGAUUCUUCAGGCUGAAAUAGCUCAGUUGGGAGAGCGUUAGACUGAAGAUCUAAAGGUCCCGGGUUUCAGCAGAGUUUUAGGAACACAAGGUUGUCACAGUACACCUGAAAACUGUUGUCUCAUUAGCUAACAAUGCUAAAGCUAACGACACUCUGCCUGAGCAUGAGAAUCUAAAGUUCAAUCUUGGACUUCAUCAGUGGUUCUAGAUUCGCAUAACUACUGUAUAGAAUGGUCUGACUGCACCUCAUCAUUGUUCUGCUUCUUUGUUAUGUUUAUGCUGAUUUUAUUACUUGCAUACAAACCAUUCCUGCUAUGUUUGCACUGUGGGUUCAGUUAGUAAAAGUAUGGUAAAUGUCAACAAGUGUGUUUGAAUAUUAGUGUCAAGUACAUGACCUGUGUAUUCAUUG